CCUAGGAAGACACGGCCUCGUUCUUGGUGUGGCCACUGAGGACGGUGCUGAGAGGGGGAAAGUCAUGGGCUGGGCCGGGUAUGGGAUGCGGAGGAGACGGCGCCCAGGGAGGAGGAGGUGAGCUCCCCAUCCUGGGAGUAAGCAAGUGUGGACUGGGCCUUGGGGGCGUAAUCCUUGGAGGAAUUUGGAUGGGGUCUCCUUGGAACAUCAUUAUUGAGGUGUUCUUAGGAAACACCCUUUGAAAUGUCCUGUGACAGCUUAAGUUUUGAGAAGGUCAUUGGUUUUAAUGCCUUCGUGGGCGGCGCUCGUGGGUAUUUUGUUGCAGAGCCUUCUUGAGGCUAGGGCCUCACUCACACUCACGUGGGGCCUCCAGGGGGAGGCUUUGUAAACCUCGAAUUUGCAAUUACACCGAGCCGUGUAAUUACAUGUGGGUGGGGGCAGCGCUGCGGCCCCAGUACAGGCAGGGUUUCCGUGGGCCUCUGGGGCAGGGUGGGCCGGAAGAGGGUGAAAAUGCUCCAGGUGAAUCCACCAUUCAGGGACCACUCUGGGCCCUCCCAGGAGCGCUAACAGGCGGCUCUGCUCGCCCCUCGGUGCUGGAAUUGCUCCUCCUACAUUUGGUCAGGACCUCAGCGAGGGGGAGGGGGCCCCAAGACCUGCAGGCAUGGCAACCCCAGCGUGGCUGUGGGAAGAGGGCCCAGCUGCCGCCCGCUCAGGAACGCUGCUGGAGGAACUGCUCAGGCCACCUCCUCCCUCCCUCUGCGGAGAAGCAGGGACAACCAGGACCCCCAUCCAGCCCAGCACCCCCAGGCAGCACCCUCUGCAGCUCUGGCCCCCAGGAAUUCCCACCCUGAGUCUGUGGGGGCUUGUGGAGACAUCAGAUGCCUGGCACCCACAAUGUCACUUCAGCUGGAGGCCUAGGUGUGGCUCAGGCUGGGGCACAGGUAUGAAUCUAGGGGUGGCAACAAGAGUGAAGGUACCAGGUCUAGGGGUGGGAGGCCCCCAGGCUGUGCAAGUAGCCAGCCCGUCCUCUCCAGGGAAGAUGAGCCGCUCUUGGCUAUGUCUAGCUCACCCCUAGAAUUGUCGUUCUCCAGCCUUGACCUCCCUGGAGCUGGUGAGGCGGGCCUGGAGCACCACCCGCUUCUGGGGCGCCUCUUCAUCAGGAGGCCCCUGGCUCAACAAUGCCACCUGCAGCUGCCCAGCCCUCCGCCCAUGGUGCCCUUGUUCCACCUGCUGCCGCUUAUGAACCUGUGGAUCACCCAGCUCUGCACUGGCUUGCCUGCUGCUGCUGUCUCAGUUUACCUGGGCAGUUGCCCCUGGCUAUCCGGCUGGGGUGGGACUUGGGCUUAGAAGCAGGCCCCUCCUCUGGGAAGCUGUGUCCUCGGGCCAGGAGGUGGCAGCCUCUACCUUCCUGAGGCAGGGACCCUUUUUUGUCCAUCAAGGGUG
rnacentral:sRNA from 1 species